UACGGGAGGCAGCAGUGGGGAAUAUUGGGCAAUGGGCGAAAGCCUGACCCAGCAACGCCGCGUGAGUGAAGAAGGUCUUCGGAUUGUAAAUCUCUGUCCCAGGAGAAGAGGGGAAGACGGUAUCCUGGGAGGAAGCCCCGGCUAACUACGUGCCAGCAGCCGCGGUAAU
rnacentral:rRNA from 1 species